rnacentral:rRNA from 1 species
GACGAACGCUGGCGGCGUGCUUAACACAUGCAAGUCGAACGGAAAGGCCCUGCUUUUGUGGGGUGCUCGAGUGGCGAACGGGUGAGUAACACGUGAGUAACCUGCCCUUGACUUUGGGAUAACUUCAGGAAACUGGGGCUAAUACCGGAUAGGAGCUCCUGCUGCAUGGUGGGGGUUGGAAAGUUUCGGCGGUUGGGGAUGGACUCGCGGCUUAUCAGCUUGUUUGUGGGGUAGUGGCUUACCAAGGUUUUGACGGGUAGCCGGCCUGAGAGGGUGACCGGCCACAUUGGGACUGAGAUACGGCCCAGACUCCUACGGGAGGCAGCAGUGGGGAAUAUUGCACAAUGGGCGGAAGCCUGAUGCAGCAACGCCGCGUGCGGGAUGACGGCCUUCGGGUUGUAAACCGCUUUCGCCUGUGACGAAGCGUGAGUGACGGUAAUGGGUAAAGAAGCACCGGCUAACUACGUG